rnacentral:rRNA from 1 species
GACAGAGGUGCCAAGCGUUAGGCGGAAUCACUGGGCGUAAAGCGCACGUAGGCGGACUGUUAAGUCGGGGGUGAAAUCCUGGGGCUCAACCUCAGAAUUGCCUCCGAUACUGGCAGUCUCGAGUGCGGGAGAGGUGAGUGGAAUUCCCAGUGUAGAGGUGAAAUUCGUAGAUAUUGGGAAGAACACCAGUGGCGAAGGCGGCUCACUGGCCCGUAACUGACGCUGAGGUGCGAAAGCGUGGGGAGCAAACAGGG